rfam:Salmo salar isolate Sally breed double haploid chromosome ssa23, whole genome shotgun sequence.
AAUGCACCAAUUUGUAAGUCUCUCUGGAUAAGAGAGUCUGCUAAAUGAGGUAAA